rnacentral:tRNA from 1 species
UCUAAUGUGGCAGAAAAAUGCAAAGGAUUUAAACUCCUUUUAUAAACUUAUUAUUUCUUUAGAA